AAGAUUACAAUCACCCCUCUUAAAAACGAGGCAAAGGAAAUAAGCUGGAGGGAACGCAGGCCGCGAAGAACAACGUUGAUCGAUGUCUUCAACUCCGAAGAAGCGAACCAAAGUCAAACGUAAUACGAACUCCGAUGUCGGUUCUCGAGGCGAUUCGUCUGUUUCAUCUUCUACAAUGUUGCUGAAGUCUAUCAAGGAACCGCCUCGCGAUUUCUUCCCCUCGAAGGAUGAUCUUGCUGCGCUAAUUACUGUACUCUUCAUCGCCUGCUUGAUUUUUGUGAGUUGUGACUUCUUCGUAUCUAGACUUGCAAGUCGCCAACCGAGGCCUUUCUGUGAUACCGACGCUGAUUCUUUGGAUUUGCUUUCUGAUGUUUGUGAGCCUUGUCCAAGGCAUGGAGAAUGUCGUGAUGGUAAGUUGAAGUGCCUUCAUGGUUAUAGAAAGCAUGGAAGGUUAUGUAUAGAAGAUGGAGUAAUCAAUGAAGCAGUUAAUAAACUUUCAGAAUGGCUAGAAUCUCACCUCUGUGAAGCAAAUGCCAAGUUCUUAUGCGAUGGAAUUGGGAUAGUUUGGGUUAAAGAGGAUGAUAUAUGGGAUGAUCUAGAUGGUAAAGAGCUGGUGGAAAGUAUUGGCUCUGACAACACCACUCUUACGUAUGCAAAGAGUAAGGCGUUGGAAACUAUUGGCGGGUUAUUUCAGACGCGACAAAAUUCUCUUGGGAUCAAGGAAUUGAAAUGUCCAGAUCUGCUAGCUGAAAGUUACAAGCCUUUUACUUGCCGUAUUCGUCACUGGGUUUUGCAGCAUGCUUUCGCUGUUUUGCCAGUUUUCUUACUGCUUGUGGGAUGCACAUGGUUACUUUGGAAACUUUACCGAAGACAAUAUAUAACAAAUAGAGCUGAAGAUCUGUACAACCAGGUUUGUGAAAUACUUGAGGAAAAUGCUUUGAUGUCAACAAGAAACAGUGGUCAAUGUGAAUCAUGGGUUGUUGCUUCGAGGUUACGUGAUCACCUUCUUUUGCCACGAGAGAGGAAGAAUCCUUUGUUAUGGAGGAAGGUAGAGGAGUUGGUUCAGGAAGACUCACGAAUAGAUCGUUACCCGAGACUAGUUAAGGGUGAUGGAAAAGAAGUAUGGGAAUGGCAAGUAGAAGGCUCUUUGAGCUCUUCAAAGGAAAAGAGACUGGCCACCAAAUCCAAUUCCGGGAAGGCAAUGGGAGUAAGUACUGACCAAAUGCAUAGUAAAAUGGAGAACGAGCCAAAGCCACUAGUUUUGUGAUAUGGUGCUUGUCCAGGUGGAUACUAUAGCUUAGCUGGUUGAUCUGUCUAGUUAGAGAUGGCAUAAAAGCUUAAUAGGAAAUAAUCAUCAGAACAGAUUUGGAUUCAUGUACAUUGGCCUUUGACAUUAAAGAAGAUUCUGUUUUUAACAGUUACGUCGUGGAUUGCAUUUAAGUGUUUGAAGUUGUUUUUUUGUUUUUUUAAUGAACGGCAAGGUGCAUUGGUGUCCAUAUUAUGUCAUAAGCUUAAUUAAAAGGCUGUAUGGCGUUGAGUUAUAAUUAGGGGAGCUCGCAUUGAAUUCAAUUUGGGGCACUCCCAAGUCCUCAUAUGUUCUUCUGCCGGCAUUCUCUCUCAUUCUAAUUGAAAAGAAUCCAGACAAUCCACAAACCACAAUUUUUGACUAUUAGAUACCUAUUACCAACUACUUGAAAAGUCCUUGCAACAAAGUUCAAAGGAAGUUUGAUUUGACCUAGCGAUCCUAAGUUUGAAGUUGUUUUUAAGAGUGAGCAAGUAUAUAACUUUCUUCGGUUAAUGUCAAGGUCACAUGAAUCGGGAUCUGAAAGGUUAGAGAUCUUGAUAGGGUUAUCAAAGAAUCUAAUGGAGCACCUUUUUCAAGGAUAUUGGCACUUGCAUGCACUGUAAUUACCGAAUUUGGGAAACGGAUGAAACAUGGUAACCACAACACAUUGUUGUGGUGGGAGUUUUAACUAACAAACUUUUAACCAUCAUACAUCUUUAUCUUCAACAAUCCUAUUAGUGUUAGACUUGUUGGAGCAAUCACGGUACAUAGUCAAACGAGAAAUAAUGUUGAAAGGGAAAAACCAAUGAAUCUACAAAGUGAUUGAAAAAUGACUUUCUAGGAAUAGACAUCUUGAUACUAAGUCAUGAUAUCGAUAAUUUUCAUCUCACUUGCUAUCAAUCAAAAUCCUUAGGAAGAAUAAAACCGUAUCAUUAGUUAAAUACAAUAAAUGCUCACCAAGUUCAUAGUUGAUUAAAGAUCAAUGCAGAAAAAUAAGGUAAAUUGAGACAAAAGUGUCAUAAUGCGGAAAAACAAUAUAAUUAAAAAAAGAAAGGAAAAAUAGAAAGUUGAGAUAAAGUGAGAUUUGAAAAAAAAAAAAAAUGGAUCCUAUCUUAAGAUAAAAAAUUUAUGGCUAUUUUUAUGCUAUAUUUUGAUCCUAUUGAUAUUCAAAUAGAAGAAGGGCAAAAUUUAAUUACACUCUAGGUCUAGAUAUUAUUGAGAGUAUUGGAGGAUAUUUUGAAUUUUGUUCAAUAAAAUAAUGUUUGGAAUUGCAAAUAUCGCGAGUAAAACACAUGGUAUUCAAGAACCCAUUCAAAGUUGUGAAAUGAAAUGGAAACUUGGAAGAUCUAGGAUUUGAGUGUAAAGGAUGUUGUGGGCUUCGAAGAAGAAUUAAUUGAAAAAUACCACGCAAACUCAAAGUUGCACAACUUUUUUAUUGACAAAAAUACGAGCAAGAAAUAAUAUGAGAUGACGGCACUUAAAAUUAUAUUAUAUUUGCCGUCCUUGGCAAAGCUGAAGAAGAAGAAGUUACGAUCUAAGGUGGUCGUUUUGUUGCCUGUGAAGAAGAAGAAGAUGAGAAGGAUGAAUAUGCGUCCAUUUUCAACCCAAUACUCAUCUAACCUGACCUGACAUAUUUUGGUGUUUUUUCACCCCAUAAUCUACAUAUCAAGUCAACUGUGUUAUGGAAUUUUUGUAUAUAAAGCACUUAAGUUUGGCACAUAUACAUUGAUAGUUUA